GGCGGCGUGCUUAACACAUGCAAGUCGAGCGGAAAGGCCCUUCGGGGGUACUCGAGCGGCGAACGGGUGAGUAACACGUGAGUAACCUGCCCCUGACUCUGGGAUAAGCCUGGGAAACUGGGUCUAAUACCGGAUAUGACUACUUCGGGCAUCCGAUGGUGGUGGAAAGUCUUUUGGGUUGGCGAUGGACUCGCGGCCUAUCAGCUUGUUGGUGGGGUAGUGGUCUACCAAGGCGACGACGGGUAGCCGGCCUGAGAGGGCGACCGGCCACACUGGGACUGAGACACGGCCCAGACUCCUACGGGAGGCAGCAGUGGGGAAUAUUGCGCAAUGGGCGAAAGCCUGAGCCAGCUACGCCGCGUGGGGGAUGACGGCCUUCGGGUUGUAAACCUCUUUCAGCAGGCACGAAGUUGACGUGUACCUGUAGAAGAAGCGCCGGCUAACUACGUGCCAGCAGCCUCGGUAAUACGUAGGGCGCAAGCGUUGUCCGGAAUUAUUGGGCGUAAAGAGCUCGUAGGUGGCUUGUCGCGUCUGCCGUGAAAGCUUAGGGCUUAACCCUAGGUCUGCGGUGGAUACGGGCAGGCUAGAGGCUGGUAGGGGCAAGCGGAAUUCCUGGUGUAGCGGUGAAAUGCGCAGAUAUCAGGAGGAACACCGGUGGCGAAGGCGGCUUGCUGGGCCAGUUCUGACGCUGAGGAGCGAAAGCGUGGGGAGCGAACAGGAUUAGAUACCCUGGUAGUCCGCGCUGUAAACGUUGGGCGCUGGGUGUGGGGUGCUUCCACGUGUCCCGUGCCGUAGCUAACGCAUUAAGCGCCCCGCCUGGGGAGUACGGCCGC
rnacentral:rRNA from 1 species